GAUGAACGCUGGCGGCGUGCCUAAUACAUGCAAGUCGAGCGAACAGACGAGGAGCUUGCUCCUUUGACGUUAGCGGCGGACGGGUGAGUAACACGUAGGUAACCUACCUAUAAGACUGGGAUAACUUCGGGAAACCGGAGCUAAUACCGGAUAAUAUUUCGAACCGCAUGGUUCGAUAGUGAAAGAUGGCUUUGCUAUCACUUAUAGAUGGACCUGCGCCGUAUUAGCUAGUUGGGAAGGUAACGGCUUACCAAGGCAACGAUACGUAGCCGACCUGAGAGGGUGAUCGGCCACACUGGAACUGAGACACGGUCCAGACUCCUACGGGAGGCAGCAGUAGGGAAUCUUCCGCAAUGGGCGAAAGCCUGACGGAGCAACGCCGCGUGAGUGAUGAAGGUCUUCGGAUCGUAAAACUCUGUUAUUAGGGAAGAACAAACGUGUAAGUAACUGUGCACGUCUUGACGGUACCUAAUCAGAAAGCCACGGCUAACUACGUG
rnacentral:rRNA from 1 species